GUCUCCCAUCCAAGUACUAACCAGGCCCGACCCUGCUGAGCUUCUGAGAUCAGAUGAGACUGGGUGCCUUCAGGGUGGUAUGGCC
rnacentral:sRNA from 1 species